CGUGCCCGCUCACGCGGGCGCGGGUCGUCGCCCCAACGCCCCUCGCGGGUGCUGCGGUCGGCGGCUGCCGGCUUCUAGCACAACCCUCUGUAAACUCUACCUUUGUUGCUUUGGCGGGCCGCCGUGAGGCUCUCGGCCCCGCGCCGGGACGCGCCCGCCAGAGGACCCAACUCAUGUGUUUAGUGAUGUCUGAGUACUAUAUAAUAGUUAAAACUUUCAACAACGGAUCUCUUGGUUCUGGCAUCGAUGAAGAACGCAGCGAAAUGCGAUAAGUAAUGUGAAUUGCAGAAUUCAGUGAAUCAUCGAAUCUUUGAACGCACAUUGCGCCCCGUGGUAUUCCGCGGGGCAUGCCUGUUCGAGCGUCAUUAGACCAAAUCACGCCUGGCGUGGUCUUGGGGUCUGCCAUCUGGCAGCCCUUAAACGCAGUGGCGGCGCCGUAGGGCUCUCAGCGUAGUAAACUCUCUCGCUGUGGGGUCCCCGCGGACGCUUGCCAGCAACCCUCAAUACUCUAGGUUGACCUCGGAUCAGGUAGGGAUACCCGCUGAACUUAAGCU
rnacentral:rRNA from 1 species